rnacentral:rRNA from 1 species
AUGCAUGUCUUAGAGCAAACGGUUCAACAGUGGGUCUGUGAAUGGCUCCUUACAUCAGCAGUCAUCUCUGUGAUAGAGUGUGGAUGGCAACAGUCCCAGUUGCCCAUUUGGACAUCCUCCAAAACCUGGUGGCUAAUACACGCAGGCAACAGUCUGCCAUGACAGUGUCCCCCUGAAGCCUUCGGGUGGAGGGUGUGGAUCACAUGGUGGAUUGCAACUGGCCGUAUGCAAGACCAGCGCCAGCAAUGGCAGUGAGGCAGCUGAAUCAAGCCAGUCCCUUGUGGACACCCGCUCUGGAGGUCUAGUGCUUCGAGCACUGCCCCUUGAUCACACGAACUUCUGACCUAUCAGCUUUGACUGUGGUGUAGUGGACCACAGUGGCUUUCACAGGUGACGGAGAAUUUGGGUUCGAUUCCGGAGAGGGAGCCUGAGAGAUGGCUACCACUACCAAGGUGGGCAGCAGGCGCGCAAAUUGCCCAAUACAGAAACAUCUUGUGAGGCAGCGACGAACUGCAGCAAUCCCGCAGGCAUCCUUGCCUGCGGGACUUGGAAUGGAUGCUAUCCAAACACAGUGAUGAGUAACGACUGGAGGGCAAGUCUGGUGCCAGCAGCUGCGGUAAUUCCAGCUCCAAGGGCGUAUACUAACAUUGCUGCUGUUAAAGCACUUGUAGUCGGCCACUGGGAUGCAGGUCUGCUAGGUGGCCAGCUGGCUUGGGGACCUUCAUGCUUCUCCUCGGAGUUGUGUGGGGGGCUUUGGGCUGGUUGGAUACAACCCCUGGUGGUAUGUCCCUGCUCCCGCAAAUCUCGAUGGUGAGAUCCUUUGCUCCUGCACAAAGACCCCUUCAGUGGGGUCCGAGGCGGUUACACAGCUGAGGCAUGUCUGGACACUGCAAGGUGAUCACACUUCGUGUGUGACCCUAGUCCACCUUCGGAGCCCACCAUCUCUGUCACCCUGGAUAACUCAGUGUGCUUCAAGCAUCCAGUCUUGGCUGGAUGCUCAUCCAUGGAAUGGCAAAGCAUCGACCGAACUUGGCAUCAGAGUUGUGCUGGCCUUGGAGCCUGUUCUGGACAAUGUGGGGCUGUCCCCUGGCUGUGGCUGAAGCCCACCCAUCUCUGGCUCAAAACCAGGGAGGUUGUGGCUGACCAGCACGACCAGUAAGGGCAGUUUCCAGCCGCUGAUGAUGGGAAUGCUCAGGGUGAAACCUAUUGCAACGCUAGAGGUGAAAUUCUUAGACCGCUGCAAGAGGGACAGCAGCGAAGGCGUUCUGCAAGUCCAUGUUCGUCGAUCAAGAAUGAGAGUGUGGGGAGCGAAGAUGAUCAGACACCGUCGUAGUCCACUACUGUAAACCAUGCCAGCUCAGUCUUGGUGAGGCAAGUAUCCGGACCUCAUCAGGGCUAUGCCCCCUUCAACGAGAAAUCCAAGCCUUUGGGUUCAGGGGGGAGUACUGUCGCAAGGCUGGAACUUAAAGGAAUUGACGGAAUGGCACCACAAGGCGUGGAGUAUGCGGCUUAAUUUGACUCAACACGGGGAAUGUUACCAGGUCAGGACCUUGCAGGGAUGGACAGACUGACAGCUCUUUCUUGAUUCUUGGGAUGGUGGUGCAUGGCCGCUCCUGAUUGGUGGAGUGAUUUGUCUGGUUGAUUCCGAUAACGAGUGAGAUAUCUGCCUUCCAAUAGCCCCAAGCUCACAUCUGUAGGGUGGGCCUCAGUGAAGUCCGAGGGUUGGUGUCUUCGGGCACCUCUCAACCGGGCACUGUUGGUCCCCUGAGAGCUCUGGGUAAACAGCUUCUCUGAGGUGCUGUGUACGCUGCCAAGUGCACGCAUGCUAGAGCCAACAGCAGGUCUGUGAUGCUCCCAGAUGUCCUGGGCCGCACGCGCACUACAUUGCUUCAGUGAAGGUGUUAUGCUCUCUUGCAGAGCCCUGUCCAGAAGUGGAUGGGAAACCAUUCAAGCCUGAUGCGUACUGGGGAUAGAUGAUUGCAACUGUCUGCCUUGAACGAGGAAUGCCUAGUAUGUGUGUGUCAUCAGCACACACCGAUUGUGUCCCUGCCAUUUGUACACACCGCCCGUCGUUGCUACCGAUGGAGGCAUGAUAGAGCCAUCAGGAGGCCCAGGUUAGCCUUCGUGCUGCCUAGUCAAAAUUGGGCAAUGUCCAGCCUCUAGAGGAAGCAAAAGUCGUAACAAGGUUGUUGUAGGUGAACCUGCAGCAGGAUCAUUG